ensembl:lncRNA
AUGAGUGGUCGCGAGCGCAGUAGAAACCGAACCUGGUCGUUGGAUUCGGACCUUGACUCGCGUGCGUCCCAGACAGUGGGCAGUUCGUCAGGGGGUCUUGAGGAGGACAAGGAGGUCGCCUCGCAAGCUGUACUGUUCUUCAUCAAUGGUUCGAGGAGAGGUGCAGUGCACCUGUGCUCGAGUAUAGCCGAGAUACUGCGCGAGAAUCAACGUCUGCACAGGACCGUAGAGGUCCAAAGGGCCCGAAUAGAGGAGCUGAUGUGCUCUCUGUCCACUGCUCCGGCUGCUCCCGUGGGUCCCUUAGAUUCCAACAGAUCCCAGACCAACUCCACCUCUCCCUUCUCCUGCCUCCCCUCCGUCUCUCUCGCCGCCUCCUCCCCCUACCUCCCCUCUCCCCCAGCCAGUGUCUCCCCCAGUGUGUCCUCCAUAUACAGCUCUGGGAGGGGCAGCCUGUGCUCUAACACCACACCCCCCUGCCUCCCCCCUCUAUCCUUUAGCACCACACCCCCCUGCCUCCCUCCUCUGGUCCCCCUUCACAACCUCACCCCUCAGAGGAGACAGACAGCAGUUCUGCCCUGUGUGAAAGAGUAUGAGAAGGAGGAUCCAGGAGAAAAGGAGAGGAGAGGAAAGGAAGGCAGGAGAGGAGAUGAGAGGGUGAAGAAGAGAGGGGGAGAAAAGAGACAAGAAGACAACAGACUUACUCUACCCUCUGUAGAAGAAGAUCUGGGAUCACAACCCUUACCCAUCAUGCCUCACUCCUCCCAUAGUGACAGCAAUCCCAGAGAAAGAGUCAGGAGGAGGGAGAAGGGCAACCUGUCGUCUGAGCAGGGUGGACAGACAUCAGACCGAAAACACACGCUGAAGAAAAGAGAGAAUGUCCUAAGGAGAAGUGCCUCAUGUGGACCUCUGAGGGGAGCGAUGGAGGAGACAAAAGAGGAGGAGAGGUGGUGUCUGGCCCCAGACUGUCCUGACUCCUCGUCCACAGUCCAAGCAGCAGGAGGGCUGGACCCCAGGGCAUUAACCACCAGGAAGAAGCACCGCCUGUGUGUGAAUGACCGUGUAGUGCUGGAGAGGAGGAGGAGAGGAGAGGAGAGGAGAAGAGGAGCUGUGAGGUUCAUCGGACCACUGGAAAACACUGAGUCUACAGACAUCUAUAUCGGAGUGGAAUUGGACACAGCCAGUGAGUUUGUGUGUGUGUGUGUGCAGUGUGUGUGUUUAGGGUGUGUGUGAAUAUCUGGCAUUCUCAUCACCAUGACAACUGUGACAGUAACACCAAAGAUACUGGUAAAUAAGGCCUGGAUUCAAUCAGAUCGAGCAUUAACCAGCAUUGGUCGACAUCCGCAUAGCAGAUGUUUUGGCGGUGUUGGAGGUGUAACUGUGGUAUGAGCUGAAAUAUAGGUGAGCGGCUGCUCUUGUCUGUCACAAACCACCCCCUUAUUAUCCCUACUGCGUUCGUUCAAAACAGUGCUAGAAAGUUUAGGCUCUAUCGAUGUUAGAAAUAAUUAUUCUCAAAUAUCAAACCAUUGAUGUUAGGCAACUGCAUGUUUUCAUGCACCCUAGACACACUGCAAUUUGCAUACCGCCUCAAUAGAUCCACAGACGAUGCAAUCGCCAUCACACUGCACACUGCCUUUUCCCAUCUGGACAAGAGGCAUAACUAUGGAAGAAGGUCAAGGUAUCACAAAGCCCUGACCUCAAUCCUAUAGAAAAUGUGUUGGCAGAACUGAAAGUGCGUGCGAGCAAGGAGGCCUACAAACCUGACUCAGUUACACCAGCUCUGUCAGGAGGAAUGGGCCAAAAUUCACCAACUUAUUGUGGGAAGCUUGUGGAAGGCUACCCAAAACGUUUGACCCAAGUGAAACAAUUUAAAGGCAAUGCUACCAAAUACUAAUUGUGUGUAUGUAAACGUCUGACCCACUGGGAAUGUGAUGAAAGAAAUAAAAUAUGAAAU